rnacentral:rRNA from 1 species
GACGAACGCUGGCGGCGUGCUUAACACAUGCAAGUCGAACGGAAAGGCCCUGCUUUUGUGGGGUGCUCGAGUGGCGAACGGGUGAGUAACACGUGAGUAACCUGCCCUUGACUUUGGGAUAACUUCAGGAAACUGGGGCUAAUACCGGAUAGGAGCUCCUGCUGCAUGGUGGGGGUUGGAAAGUUUCGGCGGUUGGGGAUGGACUCGCGGCUUAUCAGCUUGUUGGUGGGGUAGUGGCUUACCAAGGCUUUGACGGGUAGCCGGCCUGAGAGGGUGACCGGCCACAUUGGGACUGAGAUACGGCCCAGACUCCUACGGGAGGCAGCAGUGGGGAAUAUUGCACAAUGGGCGGAAGCCUGAUGCAGCAACGCCGCGUGCGGGAUGACGGCCUUCGGGUUGUAAACCGCUUUCGCCUGUGACGAAGCGUGAGUGACGGUAAUGGGUAAAGAAGCACCGGCUAACUACGUGCCAGCAGCCGCGGUGAUACGUAGGGUGCGAGCGUUGUCCGGAUUUAUUGGGCGUAAAGGGCUCGUAGGUGGUUGAUCGCGUCGGAAGUGUAAUCUUGGGGCUUAACCCUGAGCGUGCUUUCGAUACGGGUUGACUUGAGGAAGGUAGGGGAGAAUGGAGUUCCUGGUGGAGCGGUGGAAUGCGCAGAUAUCAGGAGGAACACCAGUGGCGAAGGCGGUUCUCUGGGCCUUUCCUGACGCUGAGGAGCGAAAGCGUGGGGAGCGAACAGGCUUAGAUACCCUGGUAGUCCACGCUGUAAACGGUGGGUACUAGGUGUGGGGUCCAUUCCACGGGUUCCGUGCCGUAGCUAACGCUUUAAGUACCCCGCCUGGGGAGUACGGCCGCAAGGCUAAAACUCAAAGGAAUUGACGGGGCCCCGCACAAGCGGCGGAGCAUGCGGAUUAAUUCGAUGCAACGCGUAGAACCUUACCUGGGUUUGACAUGGAUCGGGAGUGCUCAGAGAUGGGUGUGCCUCUUUUGGGGUCGGUUCACAGGUGGUGCAUGCCUGUCGUCAGCUCGUGUCGUGAGAUGUUGGGUUAAGUCCCGCAACGAGCGCAACCCUUGUUCACUGUUGCCAGCACGUUAUGGUGGGGACUCAGUGGAGACCGCCGGGGUCAACUCGGAGGAAGGUGGGGAUGACGUCAAGUCAUCAUGCCUCUUAUGUCCAGGGCUUCACGCAUGCUACAAUGGCUGGUACAGAGAGUGGCGAGCCUGUGAGGGUGAGCGAAUCUCGGAAAGCCGGUCUCAGUUCGGAUUGGGGUCUGCAACUCGACCUCAUGAAGUCGGAGUCGCUAGUAAUCGCAGAUCAGCAACGCUGCGGUGAAUACGUUCCCGGG